GUUGGUACUUGUACCGACUGGAUGACAGCGAACGGGUGAGUAACGCGUGGGGAAUCUGCCUUUGAGCGGGGGACAACAUUUGGAAACGAAUGCUAAUACCGCAUAAAAACUUUAAACACAAGUUUUAAGUUUGAAAGAUGCAAUUGCAUCACUCAAAGAUGAUCCCGCGUUGUAUUAGCUAGUUGGUGAGGUAAAGGCUCACCAAGGCGAUGAUACAUAGCCGACCUGAGAGGGUGAUCGGCCACAUUGGGACUGAGACACGGCCCAAACUCCUACGGGAGGCAGCAGUAGGGAAUCUUCGGCAAUGGACGAAAGUCUGACCGAGCAACGCCGCGUGAGUGAAGAAGGUUUUCGGAUCGUAAAACUCUGUUGGUAGAGAAGAACGUUGGUGAGAGUGGAAAGCUCAUCAAGUGACGGUAACUACCCAGAAAGGGACGGCUAACUACGUGCCAGCAGCCGCGGUAAUACGUAGGUCCCGAGCGUUGUCCGGAUUUAUUGGGCGUAAAGCGAGCGCAGGUGGUUUAUUAAGUCUGGUGUAAAAGGCAGUGGCUCAACCAUUGUAUGCAUUGGAAACUGGUAGACUUGAGUGCAGGAGAGGAGAGUGGAAUUCCAUG
rnacentral:rRNA from 1 species